rnacentral:misc_RNA from 1 species
GCCGGUGUGGAUCCGGGUGCCAGUUGUGGUGGUGGGGUGUCCUGACUGGUGAGACUGCGCAGGUCGUUGAUGUAGAGGACGGUGUCGCCGGCGCUGGCCACCAUGGCGCCCGCGUUGCGGACGUGGGUGGACAGCAUCCACAGCCCGGCCACCGCGGUCAAUGCGGUCGGCAACGAAAUCGACUCGGUGUAGGCCGCUGCGGCUAGGCCGCCCAGCGCAACGACCACGAUGAUGUCGCUGAGCCCCCGGGCCGCUAAUUGCCGCC